CAAGAGCGUAUGUAAAAGUUGUUGCAGUUAAAAAGCUCGUAGUUGAACCUUGGGUUUGGUUGGCCGGUCCGCUUUUUUGCGAGUACUGGAUUCAACCGAGCCUUUCCUUCUGGCUAACCAGUCGUUUCGGCGGCUGGCGAACCAGGAUUUUUACUUUGAGAAAAUUAGAGUGUUCAAAGCAGGCGUUAGCUUGAAUAUAUUAGCAUGGAAUAAUAGAAUAGGACGUUAUGGUUCUAUUUUGUUGGUUUCUAGGACCAUCGUAAUGAUUAAUAGGGACGGUCGGGGGCAUCAGUAUUCAGUUGUCAGAGGUGAAAUUCUUGGAUUUACUGAAGACUAACUACUGCGAAAGCAUUUGCCAAGGACGUUUUCAUUAA
rnacentral:rRNA from 1 species